GCUAAAACUUACUACAGGAAUGUUGGGCUUGGGCAUAAUCUUUUCAAAGAUUUGAAGGACUGAAACAAUCCCACGCUAGGAUUGUCGUCAAGAGUGUGCCCCAACCUCCAUCAUCCUUCGCCAACCAUCUUCCUCUUCAACACUGUUAUCCGGGGUCUCGCGCGUGCCCGUCGUCCUGAUUCCCUCUGUACUUCUGUCUUCUUACUGAAACGGAUAGCUGACUUCUAUCUUCCUCCUAAUACAUUCAACUUUACUUUCCUCUUCCAAGCUUGUGCCAAAGUGGUAAUCAAGAAGUCUUUUGGAAUGGACCCGUUCGUCCUCAAUUUGAUGAUCCAGCUCUACUCGGUUUGUGAGAAACUGCAAGACGCACAACUGGUAUUCGAUAAAACGGGUGAAUCUAACGAAUGGAGAAAUUUAAUGGCUCUUGAUGUUUUUGAAGAAAAUGCUAGAAAGAAAUGAGGUUUCAUGGAAUAGUCUGAACGGUGGGCCGUUCAUGUUUGGUUAUCUUGAUGAUGCGCAAUGUCUCUUUACCCACAUGCUCAAGAGGAAUCUGGUCUCAUGGGUUGUUAUGAUCUCCAGAUAUGCUCAACAUAAGCAGCCAAUGGAAGCUUUAGUUUUAUUUGGGGAGAUGCAACUACUAAAUCAGGAACCGAAUGCUGCAGUUCUGCUCUCAUUGAGGUGUACGCAAAAUGCAGUAACAUCAAUCUAGCAAUGCAAGUCUUUCAUUAAUCAAGAGAAAAGUAUGUUUCUGCUUCUAUAUCAGCCAUUGCUGGGUUGGCACUCACUGGCCAAAGCGAGGAAGCACUUUCGGUCUUUGAGCAAAUGACGAGUGAGGGCCUUACAACGGAUAGUUUUUCCUUCACUGCAGUUUUGUGUGCUUGCAGCCACAUGGGUUCGGUGGAGAAAGGUUUCCACUACUUCAAUUUAAUGCUUGUGUUCACAGGAUCAAUCUAGAUUUGGAUCACUAUGCCUGCAUGUUAGAUCUUCUUGGCUGUGCAGAUUUGUUGGAGGAAGCAGAAAGGUUCAUAGCUUGCAUGCCAAUAAAUCCAGACCAUGUAAUAUGGAGGGCCCUCCUUGGCGCAUGCAGGAUCCAUGGGAAUAUGGAGAUGGGUCAAAGGGUGGGGAGUUUUCUGAUAGAAUCUGAUCGAGACCAUGGUGGACGUUACAUUCUUCUUUCAAACAUUUAUGCAGAGUAAAGGAGAUGCUGCUAAGGAAGUUAUGAGAACUAUGUGAAGAAGAAUUAAACGGGUCCCUGGGAGUAGUUUGAUCAAGGUAGAUGGUGUUGUUCAUGAGUUUGUAGCAGGAGAUAGACCCCAUGACAAGACUGAUGAGAUAUAUUUGAUGUGGGAAGACAUUGCUAGGGAGAUAAAGGAAGUUGGGUAUUCGACAGAGACAAAAGCGUUCAUGUUUGAUAUGGAAGAAGAGGAAAAAGAAGCUGUAAUUGGGUACCACAGUGAAAAACUGGCUUUAGCUUUUGGAUUUCUUUGCACAGAGCCUGGAUCAAUGCUUCGAAAUUGUGAAGAAUAUUUGGGUUUGUAGGGAUUGCCAUUCUGCUAUUAAGCACAUUUCUAUGGUUUUUAAAAGGAAAAUUGCAGUUAGAGAUAAGAAUCGGUUUCAUCAUUUUGAGGGAAGGUCUUGCUCCUGCAUGGACUACCGGUGAGCAAGUUACCUAUUUUGGAGUAGAAUGUACUGGUGAGCAACUCACUCCAUGUUUGGCUCCCUGAGCAAGGGAAAGGGAGAGGAGAAGAUCCAUACAUUGAGUUCGAGGAAACAAUGAUGUACUAAGGCCAGUUGGAUACACAAAGAUGCGCACAGGAAUUUUACAAUGUAAUUGAGAAGAGGAAAAAAUAAUUCUUUUGUUAUUGAAUCACUACAAAACUUGGGAUACAAGUUUUCAGGAGCUGAAUCUUCUGGCUUUGGUUUCCCUAACUGAUCAAAGAAGGCAGGGAAAAGGACAUCUAUAAACUUAAUCUUGGUUUAUGAGCUACAGGAAAGAAUUGUUAUACUUCUUGAUCUAUUGCUUGUGUGUAAGUUUGAACAGUUCUGGGCAAGUGAAUAUGAUAAGUUAGGCAUGCUUUCCAGCAUGUGGAUUGGAUUGGGAAGAGUUUAGAAAAUACCACAAUGCAUGUCUGACAACAAAUACAUCUGUGGAGUUCACCUUUUUGCUUUAUAUCCUCACUGUGAGAUUAGAUGGGUGUCCUGGUGUUCAAUAGCAACCUGUUUCUUUCCAGAUUUUUCUUUUGUAAAUUUACCCAGGGGUAAAGCCACUGAAUUUAAUCUAAUGGAUUUGAUGGAAGCUUAGCAGAGCUCGAGAAGAUAUUUGAGAUUGCAAUAAAUGGAUCAGAUGAUGAGAAGAUGUCUGCUGCUACCAUUCUUUGUGGGGCAUCUCUAAUUCGUGGUUGGCAUAUACAUGUAUUGAGACAUUUCAUUCUUUGUUCAAUAAAUGUUUUUUGGACUUGAAA